AUUGACCACAGAGUUCACACUCUCCACAAGAUAAAAAUUGCUCAAGAGAUUGAAAAAUGUUCUUAAGGUAUUAAGGUCAGACAAGAAACUCUCUCAAGGGACAGGAAGUCUUCCCCUGAGGAGAUCAAGAAAAGGCUGACGCCAUGGGGUGACUUGUGGGAGUAGCACUUGGCUGUGCCUGGAAGUGUACCACGGGGGUUGUAGUUGCUGCUAAUUUACCUCUUGUUAGGGACGGAAUUGCGUCAGCCAACCCCACCCUCCCCACACAUAUGCUGAGGUCCAAAUACUCAGUGCUUCAGAAAGUGACUAUAUUUGGAGGUACUGUCUUUAAAGAGGUAAUUAAGUUACAAUGAGGUCAUUAGGGUGGACUGUAAUCCACGAUGACUGGUGUCCUUAUAAGAGGAAAUUAUGACACCAUCAUGCGCAGAAAACAGACCAUUUGAAGGCACGGGGAGAAGAUGGGCCUCUACAAGCCAUGGAGAGAGCCCUUGGAAGAAAUGAGCUCUCUGGGCACCCUCAUCGCAGAUGUUCAGCCUCCAGAAUUAUAGGAUAAUAUUUUCUGUUGUUUAAGCCACCAAGUUUGUGGUACUUUGUUCUGGUGGCCCUGGCAAAUUCAUACACUUCCCAUAUCUAAAACUGACAUCAUUUACUGAGGUGGGGUUGUGCCCGGGAUUCGUUGGGGCUACAUUAUCUUUAGUUUCUAAUUUGACAAGUGUUUCUUGAGCACAUAGCUAUGCAGGCCCCUGUGCAAGGCCUUCAAGGAAUGUGAACACGAGGAAGACAGUCUCAGGCUUCAGAGAGCUUAUAAACCAGGUGACAUAACUCUGGCGAGAUGCGGCGAGUGUAAAUAUAAGGCCAGUGCUACGUGAGCAAAGAUGCGGGAGAGAUUCAUUGCAGCAAGGGGACCAGGGAGGUCUUUAGAGAGCUGGUAAUCAUUUAACUUGGAUCUUAAAGGAGAAUGAGAAGGGCUUUCCUAAGAGAGUGUGUGUGUGUGUGUGUGUGUGUGUGUGUGUGUGUGUAUGUUUUGAGGCAGUGAGUAUCUGUGAGGCUAAAACUCUCCGCUUCUCAGGACUUGGACUCCAGACAGGUGCUGUGGGCAGGCAGUGCUGAGGUUUGGCUCAACUUAAAAGCUCCUGCUGGGUGGGAAUGACUUGAUGAUCAGAAAUCGAUCAAGCUUAAUGUUAAAAUUCUGCUUUGCUUUGGGUGACAGGAUUAUGUCCUCUGUGUUUUGAAACAAGGAUGGAGGUGCACAGAGGGAAACUGGCAAGGGUGACUUGCAAGGCAUUUAGUUCCCUCAUUCAGGAAACUUCCCUCUGCUCCUUAGUGACUGUGGGAAUUCCUUUCAGCUUCUCUUGCCAAAACUGAGUGAUGAACAAAAGCGUCUGUCUGGGAGUUUAUGGGCUAAGCUGGGAUAGUCAGACUCACAUACACAGCAUCUGAGAACCUGUUUAAGGACUUUAAGUGGCUGUGUAGGAACCAGGCUGUGUGGGCACCAGGCUAUGUGGGCACCAGGCUGUGCGGGCACUGGCUGUGUGGGUACUGGGCUGUGUAGGUACCUGCGUGGGCAGUGGGCUGUGUGGGUACCUGCUUGGGCACUGGGCUGUGUGGGCACUGGGCUGGGGCUGGUCCAGGGGUAGACUAGCCUGUCCAGCUCAUAGUUCCAGCUCGGGCCAAGACAGCAGGCUAGGACAGGCAUUUGGAGUCCAGGUGUCCCCCUCCUCCCUGAGUCCCACACCUUAUGGCACUGCCACCGACCGGGCGCCUCUCGUAAACAGACACCAUUUUAGAAACUAGUGAGUGAGAGAUGGCUGAAGACACCAUGGGGUGAGGUUUGUUCGGCUGUGGUCACAGAGAAAGCCAAGACAAGUUCCCCUGCAUUCGACAGCAUUUCAGUGGUGCUGGUCCUUGACACACCCCCUGUUGGUUGAAUGAAUCAAUCCUGAACCCCCUGAUGGUGUGUCCAGAGCACCAGGAAGAGCAGCAGGUGAGGGGCGGCUGAUGUGGCUGCAGCACAGGGGUGAGUUCUCAUGCUAGUCACCGUGUCCCGGAGAAGAGAGGCCAGGGCUUGCAUCCAUCCCUGCUCCCAACAGCUGGGCAGCUGGGCAGCUCGCUCAAGGUGUGAAAGUGCGACCUUCCUGGCGGGAAAACAAAGGGCUGGGGACAUCUCCAAGGCUACUCCCAGCGCUGAGGAAUUGGGGGUCUAUGAAUUAUACUCACUUUUCUUUUGAGCAGGUAACUUUUGGUUCACUUUGAUUUGGAUCCUGAGAGAUGACAGGAAUUAUUCAGGAAGAUCUAAGGGUAUGUCAAAUGAGGGGCUGGGGAGAGUGGGUAAAGGAGGAGGAGAGGGGACAUGAGAGGGACCAGGAAAGAGAGAUGAAGAAAAAAUCCAGUGUUCCUAAUGGGCUUUGUCUGGGUUGGGCCGUUUGAUUGAUGGAGCCCUGGGCUGAUCAAUAUAAGAUGCCUUAUUCAGCCUCUAUCAGUUGCUGAUUUUCUCUGAUCUGAGAACACUAUUUGCACAUAUGCACUGUGGAUCCCAGGGAGACCCCAAGGAGAAAGUUCAGAUGGCUCUCUACAAAUUCAUCCCCAACACCAGAGAAGUAGCUCCAAGUAUUUGCAUGCAUGGUCCUGAGUCAGUGGCAUUGUCUCAACAGGCGUGAAAGCUUCUAGGUAUUGAACAGUCAUAAUGAGCUAGACCCUGUCUCUAGCUCUUUAACAGGGAUUAUCUCAGCAACCCUAUAAAGUAAGUAUAAUUAUUAUCCCCAUUUUAUUUUAUUUAUUUUUUUAGGGGGUGGGGAGAGGGAGAGAGGGAGAGAGGGAGAGAGGGAGAAAGAGAGAAAGAGAGAGAGAGAGAGAGAGAGAGAGAAUUUCAAGUAAGCUUCAUGCCCAGCACCAAGCUCAACAUGAGGCUCAAUCUCACGACCCUGAAAUCAUGACCUGAGCUGAAAGCAAGAGUCGCACACUUAACCAACUGAGCCUCCCAGGUGCCUCUAUUAUCCCCAUUUUAGACCUAGUUUGGGAAAGUAACUUAUCUGAAGUCACUUAGUACUUUGCCUGAGUCACUUGGUCUGAGUCCAGAGCCCACACUGGUAUUUGCAAUAAACCAUGGGCUCCCUAAACAAGAACCAUUGUCUCUCCAGGUCCAAAGUACUCACUGAAUGAAUGAAUGAAUGAAUGAAUGAAUGAUGGAAGGGCAGUGAAGUCUAUGACUGUAAGGCUGGUAAGAAGAUCUAUAUCCUAUCCCAAGAAUCAAAUUUCCCUAAUAGAUUUCCAAGGCAAGCUCUAAAAACAGAGGUCUGUUUUUCAGCAAUGCCCAUGCAUCAUUGCAGUUUUUAAUUUUUAUUGUUGCAGUCACAAGGGCCCUGGAUGACACACUGUUCCCUUGUGACUGAGCUCAGCAUCCUGAAGUUUCCUAGAGGAACCAACCUUGAGACUCUUAGGGACACUGUGGUCCUCUUCCCAGCCCAUCCUCAUGGUGACCUGCACCCCUGAGGUAUCCUCAAUACACUCAAAGGAAACAUAUUUUGGAAGAAAGGAUGUAACGGAGCCCAGGGUCCAAUCCUGCAUUUGGCUUAGCCCCAAGGACACUGCACAUAAGUCAGAAAUAUGAUUUCCAGUUGACUCCAUGGGAUAUUCAUUUCAAAAGAGUUGUCCUUCUUGUCUGUUUACCACAUAUCUCUUUGUAGAAGUCUCUGCUUUUCUAGAAUUUUUAUACUUUCUCUAGCAUUUUGUGUUUUGGUAAUUGACUUACAAGAAUAGUUCUGCAACAUAAAUCAACAAUGAAAAGCAAAUUACCCCUGCCCGCAUCUUUUCAUUCCUUUCUCAUCUCAAACGAUAUUUUCUGUAUGAUGACUAACCCAGACUGACGUAAUUUGUCAAUCGAUCUCCACGAUAUACAUUAGAAAACGCAUUGCACAGGGCCCAGCAUGCAGCACUUCGUGUGAGCCACAUUGCUUUAGAAAACCUAUUAGUGGAACAGAAAUAUCUAGAGCUCGGCCCGGCCUUUUUGCUGAGAAUAUUAGAACUGGUGAUAAUUACUUUAUUAAUCAUAAGGUGUAACAGCAGUGCGUAUGUCACGGCAGCCAUAAAAUAAGUGCUUUUAUGGCAAAUGUAGUUAAAAAGAAAUGACUGAUUGGAUUUAUGGUACUCAGCAGUUAAAGAAAAAAAGGGAAUCAUGCAUUUUCUUUCUUUAGUUAAAUGUUCAUUAAAUGUGUACCACUAAGAGCUAUUUGUAAUAAUUCCCUAGUGGGUCCGUGUCCUAGGAGAAUUUAUUUUAAAAUACAAAUUAAAGCUUAAAUUAGCUUUUAUUAAAAAAAUAUAUAUAGUGCAUCAACAUUUGAUCUCCUGAGAGAAGGGAGAGAGCGGUGCAGUCACGCUGAAGAGAAGGAUCUGGUAGAAGGAACCUGGAGGCUAUGUUUGCCUUUGGGGUUCAGGUGGAGCUUCUUGGCACUUACCACUUGAGGGUAGCAGAACUUUGGAGGCUAUGGUCCAGACAGAAGAUGCAACUCAGCUAUGCUCUGAAGGCAGGGAAACCACAAUGGUCAAGGUUUACAUUUAGGGUGAUGUUUAUAUUUCCAUCAUUAAAGCAAAUCUUUGAAGUUUUUUUGCAUGUGUAUAAAUUUCCAUUGUUUAUUUGUUAAAAAAUUUUUUAAUAUAAUUCAUUGUCAAGUCAGCUAACAUACAGUGUAUACAGUGUGCUCUUGGUUUCGGGGGUAGAUUCCCAUGAUGCAUCGCUUACAUGAAACACUGUAACACAUACAGUGCUUAUCCCAGAAAGUGCCUUCCUCAAUGCCCAUCCACCCAUUUUCCCCUCUUCUGCACCCUCCCACCAACCCUCAGCUUGUUCUCUCUAUUUAAGAGUUUCGUAUGGGUUUUCCUUCUUCUCUGUUUGAAACUAUCUUUUCCCCUUCCUGUCACCCCUGGUCUUCUGUUAAGUUUCUCAAGUUCCACAUAUAAGUAAAAACAUAUGAUAUCUGUCUUUCUCUGACUAACUUAUUUCACUUAGCAUAAUACCUUCUGGUUCCAUCCACACUGCUGCAAAUGGCAUGAUUUCAUCCUUUCUCAUUGCUAAAUAGUAUUCCAUUGUAUAUAUAAACCACAUCUUUAUCCAUUUGUCAGUUGAUGGACAUUUGGGAUCUUUCCAUGAUUUGGCUAUUGUUGGAAGCACUGCUAUAAACAUUGGGGUACACGUACCCCUAUGAAUCAGCACUCUAUCCUUUGGAUAAAUUCCUAGUAGUACUAUUCCUGGGUCAUAGGGUAGUUCUAUUUUGAAUAUUUUGAGGAACCUCCACACUGUUUUCCAGAGUGGCUGCACCAGUUUGCCUUCCCACCAACAGUACAAGAAGGUUUCUGUUUCUCCACAUUCUCUCCAACAUCUGUUGUUUCCUGAGUUGUUAAUUUUAGCCACUCUGACCAGUAUGAGGUGACAUCUCAGUGUGGUUUUGAUUUGUAUUUCCCUGAUGAUGAGUGAUGUUGAGCAUCUUUUCAUGUGUCUGUUGGCUAUCUGGAUGUCUUCCUUGGAAAAGUGUCUAUUCAUGUCUUCUGCCCAUUUCUUCACUGGAUUAUUUGUUUUUCAGGUGUUGAGUUUGAUAAUUUCUUUAUAGAUUUUGGAUACUAACUCUUUAUCCAAUAGGUCAUUUGUAAAUAUCUUCUCCCAUUCUGUUGGUUGCCUUUUAGUUUUGUUGAUUGUUUCCUUUGUGGUGCAGAAGUUUUCUAUCUUGAUGAAGUUCCAGUAGUUCAUUUUGCUUUUAUUUCCCUUGCCUUUGAAGACAUGUUGAGCAAGAAAUUGCUGUGGCUGAGGUCAGAAAGGUUGUUGCCUGUUUUCUCCUCUAGGGUUUGAUGGUUUCCUGCCUCACAUUUAAGUCUUCAUCCAUUUUGAGUUUAUUUUUAUGUGUAGUGUAAGAAAGUAGUCCAGUUUCAUUCUUCUGCAUGUUGCUGUCCAAUUCUCCCAGGACCAUUUGCUAAAGAAACUGUCUUUUUUCCAUUGGAUACUCUUUCCUUCUUCGUCAAAGAUUAGUUGGCCAUAAAUUUGUGGGUCCAAUUCUGGGUUCUCUAUUCCAUUGGUCUAUGUCUGUUUUUGUGCCAAUACCAUACUAUCUUGAUGAUUACAGCUUUGUAGUAGAGGCUAAAAUCCAGGAUUGUGAUGCCUCCCACUUUGGUUUUCUUUUUCAACAUUACUUUGACAAUUUGGGGUCUUUUGUGGUUCUAUAAAAAUUUUAGGAUAGUUUGUUCUAGCUUUGAUAAGAAGGCUGGUGCAAUUUUGAUUGGGAUUGCAUUGAAUGUGUAGAUGGCUUUGAGUAGUAUUGACAUUUUUAACAAUAUUUGUUCUUCCAAUCCAUGAGUAUGGAAUGUUCUUCCAUUUCUUUGUCUUCUUCAAUUCAUUUCAUACAUUUUCUAUAGUUUUCAGCAUAUAGAUCUUUUACAUAUUUGGUUAGGUUUAUUCCUAGGUAUUUUAUGGUUCUUGGUGCAGUUAUAAAUGGGAUUGAUUUCUUGAUUUCUCUUUCUGUUGCUUCAUUAUUGGUGGAUAGAAAUGCAACUGAUUUCUGUACAUUGAUUUUGUAUCCUGUGAUUUUGCUGAAUUCAUGUAUCAGUUCUAACAGCUUUUUGGUAAAGUCUUUAAUGAUAACCCCCCAGCCAGACUUCUCAAAAAGAAAAGAGAAAGAACCUAAAUAGAUAAAAUCAGAAAUGAGAGAGGAGAGAUCACAACCAACACCACAGAAAUACAAACAAUUAUUAGAGGAUACCAUGAAAAAUCAUAUGCCAACAAACUGGACAACCUGGAUGAAAUGGACAAAUUCCUAGAUGUUCACACACUACCAAAACUCAAAUGAGAAGAAAUAGAAAAUUUGAACAGACCCAUAACCAGUGAAUAAAUUGAAUCAGUUAUUAAAAAUCUCUCAACAAAUAAGAGUCCUGGGCCAGAUGGUUUUCCAAGGGAAUUCUACCAGACAUUUAAAGGAGAAUUGAUACCUAUCCUUCUCAAGCCGUUCCAAAAUAUAGAAAUGGAAGGAAAGCUUCUGGACUCAUUCUAUGAAGCCAGCAUUACCUUGAUUCCCAAACCAGAUAGAGACCCCACUAAAAAGGAGAGUUACAGGCCAAUAUCUCUGAUGAACAUGGAUGCAAAAAUUCUCAACAAGAUACUAGCAAAUGGAGUUCAACAGCAUAUUAAGAGAAUUAUUCACCAUGAUUAAGUGAGAUUCAUUCCUGGGCUGAAGGGCUGGUUCAAUAUUUGCCAAUCAACCAAUGUGAUACAUCACAUUAAUAGAAGAAAGGAGAAGAACCAUAUGAUCCUGUCAAUGGAUGCAGAAAAGGCAUUUAACAAAAUACAGCACCCUUUUUUUUUUUAAUUUUUUUCAACGUUUUUUAUUUAUUUUUGGGACAGAGAGAGACAGAGCAUGAACGGGGGGAAGGGCAGAGAGAGAGGGAGACACAGAAUCGGGAACAGGCUCCAGGCUCUGAGCCAUCAGCCCAGAGCCCGACGCGGGGCUCAAACCCACGGACCGCGAGAUCGUGACCUGGCUGAAGUCGGACGCUUAAUCGACUGCGCCACCCAGGCGCCCCAGCACCCUUUCUUAAUAAAAAGCCUCAAAAAGUCAGGAUAGGAGGAAUAUACCUUAGCAUCAUAAAAGCCAUACAUGAGAAGCCCACAGAUAAUAUCACCCUCAAUGGAGAAAAACUGAGAGCUUCCCCCCUGAGGUCAGGAACACGACAGGGAUGUCUACUCUCUCCACUAUUGUUUAACAUAGUGUUGGAAGUCCUAGCAUCAGCAAUCAGACAAUAAAAUGAAAUAAAAGGCACCCAAAUUGGCGAAGAAGAAGUCAAAUUUUCACUCUUCCCAGAUGGUGAGUCUUUGAAUUUUCAUGUUCAAUAUUUUGUUUCCAUAAAGUAAAUAAAAAUAAUCUUGAGAUUC
rnacentral:lncRNA from 1 species